GCCACGGUGGAGAAAUCGGUAAACUCAGCAGACUUAAAAUCUGCCGGCCACCAGGCCUUGCGGGUUCAAGUCCCGCCCGUGGUACCA
rnacentral:tRNA from 1 species